rnacentral:rRNA from 1 species
CCAUAAGGAGCGCCCUAGUAGGGUGAUGCACUUUACGUGCGGAGCCCGAGAGGGCCGCAGUGAAUAGGUUCAACCGACUGUUUACCAAAAACACAGGUCUCUGCUAAGUCGUAAGACGACGUAUAGGGGCUGACGCCUGCCCGGUGCCGGAAGGUUACGUGGAGGUGUUAGGCGUAAGCCGAAGCACUGAAACUAAGCCCCGGUAAACGGCGGCGGUAACUAUAACCGUCCUAAGGUAGCGAAAUUCCUUGUCGGGUAAGUUCCGACCUGCACGAAUGGCGUAACGAGUUGAACGCUGUCUCAACGAUGGGCUCGGUGAAAUUGCAGUCUCGGCGAAGAUGCCGAGUACCCGUGGCUAGACGGAAAGACCCCGUGAACCUUUACUACAACCUGGUAUUGGAGUGCGGUGCAUCUCGCACAGGAUAGGAGGGAGUCUUUGAAGCGUGGGCUGCGGCUUGCGUGGAGACAACCUUGAGAUACCUCCCUUGAUGUAUUGUGCUUCUAACACUGCGCCGUUAUCCGGGCAGUGAACAGUGCCAGGCGGGUAGUUUGACUGGGGCGGUCGCCUCCCAAAAUGUAACGGAGGCGCGCAAAGGUUCCCUCAGUACGGUUGGAAAUCGUACGUAGAGUGCAAAAGCAGUAAGGGAGCUUGACUGUGAGACCGACAGGUCGAGCAGGUGCGAAAGCAGGCUUUAGUGAUCCGGCAGUAGCAAGUGGAAGUGCUGUCGCUCAACGGAUAAAAGGUACUCCGGGGAUAACAGGCUUAUCGAGUCCAAGAGUCCACAUCGACGACUCGGUUUGGCACCUCGAUGUCGGCUCGUCGCAUCCUGGGGCUGAAGUAGGUCCCAAGGGUUGGGCUGUUCGCCCAUUAAAGCGGUACGCGAGCUGGGUUCAGAACGUCGUGAGACAGUUCGGUCCCUAUCUGCCAUGGGCGUUGGAGAAUUGAAAGGAUUCGUCCCUAGUACGAGAGGACCGGGAUGAACGCACCUCUGGUGUAUCUGUUGUCCUGCCAAGGGCAUCGCAGGUUAGCUACGUGCGGACCAGAUAACCGCUGAAGGCAUCUAAGCGGGAAGCUGACCUUGAGAUGAAUUCUCCCACCUCCUUGAGAGGGUAAGACCCCUGGUAGACCACCAGGUUGAUAGGCCGGAUGUGGAAGGACAGUAAUGUCCGUAGCAGACCGGUACUAAUGGGUCGAGGGCUUGACGG